rnacentral:rRNA from 1 species
ACGUUUCGAGGACGCUAAUACCGCAUACGUCCUACGGGAGAAAGCAGGGGACCUUCGGGCCUUGCGCUAUCAGAUGAGCCUAGGUCGGAUUAGCUAGUAGGUGAGGUAAUGGCUCACCUAGGCGACGAUCCGUAACUGGUCUGAGAGGAUGAUCAGUCACACUGGAACUGAGACACGGUCCAGACUCCUACGGGAGGCAGCAGUGGGGAAUAUUGGACAAUGGGCGAAAGCCUGAUCCAGCCAUGCCGCGUGUGUGAAGAAGGUCUUCGGAUUGUAAAGCACUUUAAGUUGGGAGGAAGGGCAGUAAGUUAAUACCUUGCUGUUUUGACGUUACCGACAGAAUAAGCACCGGCUAACUCUGUGCCAGCGGCCGCGGUAUUACAGAGGGUGCAAGCGUUAAUCGAAAUUACUGGGCGUAAAGCGCGCGUAGGUGGUUCGUUAAGUUGCAUGUGAAAGCCCCGGGCUCAACCUGGACCUGCUUCAAAACUGGCGAGCUAGAGUAUGGUAGAGGGUGUUGGAAUUUCCUGUGUAGCGAUGAAAUGCGUAGAUAUAGGAAGGACCCCCCGGUAAA